rnacentral:tRNA from 1 species
GGUUCCAUAGUGUAGUGGUUAGCACAUCUGCUUUACACACAGAAGGUCCUGGGUUCACUCCCCAGAGGACCCA